rnacentral:rRNA from 1 species
AUUGAACGCUGGCGGCAUGCCUUACACAUGCAAGUCGAACGGUAACGGGCCUUCGGGUGCCGACGAGUGGCGAACGGGUGAGUAAUACAUCGGAACGUGCCCGAUCGUGGGGGGUAACGAGGCGAAAGCUUUGCUAAUACCGCAUACGAUCUACGGAUGAAAGCAGGGGACCGCAAGGCCUUGCGCGGACGGAGCGGCCGAUGGCAGAUUAGGUAGUUGGUGGGAUAAAAGCUUACCAAGCCGAUGAUCUGUAGCUGGUCUGAGAGGAUGAUCAGCCACACUGGGACUGAGACACGGCCCAGACUCCUACGGGAGGCAGCAGUGGGGAAUUUUGGACAAUGGGCGCAAGCCUGAUCCAGCCAUGCCGCGUGCAGGAUGAAGGCCUUCGGGUUGUAAACUGCUUUUGUACGGAACGAAAAGCCUUCUUUUAAUACAGGAGGGUCAUGACGGUACCGUAAGAAUAAGCACCGGCUAACUACGUG